rnacentral:rRNA from 1 species
AGAGUUUGAUCCUGGCUCAGGACGAACGCUGGCGGCGUGCUUAACACAUGCAAGUCGAGCGGAAAGGCCCUUCGGGGUACUCGAGCGGCGAACGGGUGAGUAACACGUGAGCAACCUGCCCCUGGCUCUGGGAUAGCCUCCGGAAACGGGGAUUAAUACCGGAUAUUCACUGUCUCCUGCAUGGGGGGUGGUGGAAAGUUUUUCGGUCAGGGUGGGGCUCGCGGCCUAUCAGCUUGUUGGGGGGGUGACGGCCCACCAAGGCGACGACGGGUAGCCGGCCUGAGAGGGCGACCGGCCACACUGGGACUGAGACACGGCCCAGACUCCUACGGGAGGCAGCAGUGGGGAAUAUUGCGCAAUGGGCGGAAGCCUGACGCAGCGACGCCGCGUGCGGGAUGAAGGCCUUCGGGUUGUAAACCGCUUUCACCAGGGACGAAGCUAACGUGACGGUACCUGGGGAAGAAGUCUCGGCUAACUACGUGCCAGCAGCCGCGGUAAUACGUAGGAGACGAGCGUUGUCCGGAGUUACUGGGCGUAAAGCGUGCGCAGGCGGCUUCUUAGGCAUGACGUGAAAGCCCCGGGCUCAACCCGGGAGGGUCGUCGUGAACCGGGGGGCUUGAGGCCGGUAGAGGUGGGUGGAACUCCUGGUGGAGUGGUGAAAUGCGUAGAGAUCAGGAAGAACACCCGUGGCGAAGGCGGCCCACUGGGCCGGACCUGACGCUGAGGCACGAAGGCGUGGGGAGCGAACGGGAUUAGAUACCCCGGUAGUCCACGCAGUAAACGAUGUCGACUCGGUGUGGGCGGUCUUGACCCCGUCCGCGCCACAGCUAACGCGAGAAGUCGACCGCCUGGGGAGUACGGCCGCAAGGCUAAAACUCAAAGGAAUUGACGG